GUCACGAUAGCUCAAAUGGUAGAGCAGCGUCGUUUUUACCCGAAGGUCGUGGGUUCGAAUCCCGCUCGUGACA